ACUCAAAGGAAUUGACGGGGGCCUGCACAAGCGGUGGAGUAUGUGGCUCAAUUCGAUGCAACGCGAAGAACCUUACCUGGCCUUGACAUGCAAGUGGUAGAAGCCCGAAAGGGUGACGACCCCGCAAGGGGAGCUUGCACAGGUGCUGCAUGGCUGUCGUCAGCUCGUGUCGUGAGAUGUUGGGUUAAGUCCCGCAACGAGCGCAACCCUUGCGUCCUGUUGCCACCCCUACGAGAGUAGGGAGCACUCUGGACGGACUGCCUCGCUUCAACGGGGAGGAAGGUGGGGAUGACGUCAAGUCAGUAUGGCCCUUACGGCCAGGGCUGCACACGUACUACAAUGCCCGGUACAGAGGGAUGCCAAACCGGAAGGUGGAGCAAAUCUCCCAAAAACCGGGCCCAGUUCAGAUUGAGGUCUGCAACUCGACCUCAUGAAGCCGGAAUCGCUAGUAAUGGCGCAUCAGCUACGGCGCCGUGAAUACGUUCCCAGGCCUUGUACACACCGCCCGU
rnacentral:rRNA from 1 species